UACGUAGGGGGCAAGCGUUGUCCGGAUUCAUUGGGCGUAAAGAGCGUGUAGGCGGCCAGGUAGGACGGUUGUGAAAACUGGAGGCUCAACCUUCAGAGGUCGACCGAAACCAUCUGGCUAGAGUCCGGGAGAGGAGAGUGGAAUUCCUGGUGUAGCGGUGAAAUGCGCAGAUAUCAGGAAGAACACCCGUGGCGAAAGCGGCUCUCUGGAACGGUACUGACGCUGAGGAGCGAAAGCCAGGGGAGCAAACGGG
rnacentral:rRNA from 1 species